CUAACAUAGGCCCUUAAACACA
rnacentral:tRNA from 1 species